rnacentral:rRNA from 1 species
GCACGUAGUUAGUCGUGGCUUUUUGCUCAGAUGCAAGCUUUUAGGAGUACACCUGAGUAAAGAAGUUUACAAUCCGUAGACCUUCCUCCUUCACGUAGCAUUGCGCGGUCAGGGUUGCCCCCAUUGCCGACGAUUCCCCAUUGCUGCCUCCCGUAGGAGUAGGGACCGUGUUUCAGUUCCCUUGUGGCCAAUCAGCCUCUUAGCCUGGCUACGCGUCAUUGCCUCAGUAGGCCAUUACCCCACUUUCAUCGGCUGUUGAUUGAUGCGACUUAUCCCCAUCAUUUAGCGAAAGCCCGAAGGCUUCCUUUCCUUUGCCCGCGGCCGAAGCCGAAGCCAAAGAAUAUGCGGUAUUUUAUCCCCCACUAAAAGGUAGGUAAGAUAAGCAUUACUCACCCGUACGCCGCUAAAAAUGAUAUUGCUAUCACUUUCCGCUCGACUUGCAUAUGUUAGGCAUGCUACCAACGUUCAUC